rnacentral:rRNA from 1 species
UACGUAGGGUGCGAGCGUUAAUCGGAAUUACUGGGCGUAAAGCGUGCGCAGGCGGUCGUGCAAGACAGGUGUGAAAUCCCCGGGCCUAACCUGGGAACUGCAUUUGUGACUGCAUGGCUAGAGUUUGUCAGAGGGGGGUGGAAUUCCACGUGUAGCAGUGAAAUGCGUAGAUAUGUGGAGGAACACCGAUGGCGAAGGCAGCCCCCUGGGAUGUGACUGACGCUCAUGUACGAAAGCGUGGGGAGCAAACAGG